rnacentral:tRNA from 1 species
GGAGGUGUGGCUGGGUGGUAGAGCACCUGCCUAGCAUAUGGGAGACCUUGGGUUCCACUCCCAACACCACAA